AUUGAACGCUGGCGGCAUGCUUUACACAUGCAAGUCGAACGGUAACAGGCCGCAAGGUGCUGACGAGUGGCGAACGGGCGAGUAAUGCAUCGGAACGUGCCCAGUCGUGGGGGAUAACUACUCGAAAGAGUAGCUAAUACCGCAUACGAUCUAAGGUUGAAAGCGGGGGAGCGUAAGGGCUCGCGCGAUCGGAGCGGCCGAUGUCCGAUUAGGUAGGUGGUGGGGUAAAGGCUCACCAAGCCAACGAGCUGUAGCUGGUCUGAGAGGACGACCGGCCACACUGGGACUGAGACACGGCCCAGACUCCUACGGGAGGCAGCAGUGGGGAAUGUUGGACAAUGGGCGCAAGCCUGAUCCAGCAAUGCCGCGUGCAGGAAGAAGGCCUUCGGGUUGUAAACUGCUUUUGUACGGAACGAAACGGCUCUGGUUAAUACCCGGGGCUAAUGACGGUACCGUAAGAAUAAGCACCGGCUAACUACGUG
rnacentral:rRNA from 1 species